CCUACGGGGGACAGCAGUAGGGAAUAUUGCUCAAUGGGGGAAACCCUGAAGCAGCAACGCCGCGUGGAGGAUGAAGGUUUUCGGAUUGUAAAAUCCUUUUGUUAGAGAAGAUAAUGACGGUAUCUAACGAAUAAGCACCGGCUAACUCCGUGCCAGCAGCCGCGGUAAUACGGAGGGUGCAAGCGUUACUCGGAAUCACUGGGCGUAAAGGGCGCGUAGGCGGGAUAGCAAGUCAGAUGUGAAAUCCUAUGGCUUAACCAUAGAACUGCAUUUGAAACUGUUAUUCUAGAGUAUGGGAGAGGUAGGUGGAAUUCUUGGUGUAGGGGUAAAAUCCGUAGAGAUCAAGAGGAAUACUCAUUGCGAAGGCGACCUGCUAGAACAUAACUGACGCUGAUGCGCGAAAGCGUGGGGAGCAAACAGGAUUAGAUACCCUAGUAGUC
rnacentral:rRNA from 1 species